CAGCAGCCGCGGUAAUACGUAGGUGGCAAGCGUUGUCCGGAAUUAUUGGGCGUAAAGGGCUCGCAGGCGGUUUCUUAAGUCUGAUGUGAAAGCCCCCGGCUCAACCGGGGAGGGUCAUUGGAAACUGGGAAACUUGAGUGCAGAAGAGGAGAGUGGAAUUCCACGUGUAGCUGUGAAAUGCGUAGAGAUGUGGAGGAACACCAGUGGCGAAGGCGACUCUUUGGUCUGUAACUGACGCUGAGGAGCGAAAGCGUGGGGAGCGAACAGGAUUAGAUACCCGCGUAGUCCCUGUCUCUUAUAC
rnacentral:rRNA from 1 species